UUACUUUAGCGUUGAAGCAGGUAAAUUUCAAAUAUUUGUUUCAUUUAACUCGUCGACGGUGUAAUUAAAUUAUAAAGAAUGUGAAACGAACAAUUUAGAAAAUAAUUAUGUAAUUCGCUAUUCUUAACUCUGCCGCGGUCCUCGAGUUGUUUAUGUCUUAAUCUUACUUUAGCUUCAACCUUAAUUUCCAUCAUGCUUGAAACGAGAAAUCACGCGUAUAAAUAACAGGUCUUUCGUGUUUUGCCCAAAUUUAGGACAAUUUUCUAACGAUGAACGUACGAUACGCUUGAAAAUGGCUCAAAAGAACCAGCGGCGCGUUAAAACGCGCUUUCCACCGAAAUGGAAAUACCGAUCGUAUAAUAAGCAGAUUGAGCGGAUGGUGAGCUUGCUCCAGAUAUUCUGCAACGAGGUUUAAAGGAAUUCGGCAUUUAUGAAGAGCAACGUGCGAGGAAGCGGAGUCAUCGACGUACGAAACGAGUUCGAAAGGAUUGUAUGAAAUUCAUGGGCGUGUUUUAUGUUCCGAGAUUAAGAGGUGGGGGACAAACGGACGAGAAUUCGAGAACGUUUCGCGUUCGUGGUACAACAGCCUCUUAAUCGAAUAACAGGUGUUCGAAAUGGCCUCACCAGGACUGGUUUACGUCGAUACUUCGUAUCGUCCGAAUCUCGAUGCACGCCAACUCUUGCGCAUCUGUUUGACACGUAAAAAAAAAGAGGGGUUAUAAAUAUAGUGGCUUCGCGUUCAUUCCCGCUCCUAGGAGAAGUUAAAAGUUGCUCGGCGUAUAAUUCACGCGGUAGCUUUAAGUGGUGAUAUUUUAGAAACAGUACCCGGUAUUUAUUACGUUGCCAUUUUGAAUUUUUCGCCUGAGAUAUGUCUAUAAAUACGUAGGCAUUUAUUUUCGAGUUACCAUAUGAUGAUUACAGGGAGAGGAUGUAAUAAUUACAACUUUGCUAACUUCCUGAUUUUUACGUUACUUAGUGGUGAAAAGAGGGCACUUUAAUAUACCGUGGCUAAAAAGACAUAAUUAAGAGGCGCAACCUACCCGGUCCGAAGAUGUAAGCUCUUUAGCGAUGGAUAUGAAGUUAUAUGAGAGAAAUUAACGGCAUACGAAGAUGCGUUGCCAUUAGUCGCGGUGAUACAAUACUCUUCAAGGAAUUUUAACAUAUCAUCGUCAUUAAUAUCUGCGUACGAAGUAAAAAAGUAAAGAAAAAAGAAGAAAAACAACUAUAGUAAACAACUUGGUAAAGAGCAGACAGUAAACGACAGGAAAAGACACGCCUACGACAAUUAAAGGCUUAAACGCAUCAUUCUAAUGUGACCAUUAAAAGAGUCAUACCACCAUCUUCUUUUCUUGUAAUGAUCGUUGGAUCUAAGCGAUUCGAGCAUUGCUUGCGCUAUAAGCGACAAACAAGGGAAAAAAGAGAACAUAGAAAAAAAAACAAGAUAAAAGAUUAGAGAAAAAGAGGGAGCGAGAGAGAGAGGGAGGGGGAAGGGAAGAAGAAGGCGGAUACAAGCAAAUAAAAUCCGCGUUAAGACAGUAAGCAAACGAACGGCGUUUGCGGUGUAAAUGCGGCUUAAAGAUCGACGCCGCACGAAACAAGCUCGCCCACUCUCAUCGGGCGGAAAACUGCGCUAUCAUCCUUCUACACCACAAUGAUCUUGACAGUGACCGUAGCGAUCAAUGGCGCCGUCAAUUAGGCGAAUCGCGUACUCGGGUUUAUGGCUCGGUGGCCAACGUAUCGAGGACAUCGAGCCACGCGUUAUCCUGGAAAUUUGACGACCAUUCUCAACGUCCAUGUAACGUCGUUCACGCGCUUCUUUCAUUCUACUUCAUUCUACAGUUCGAAAACUGGAUAUGACCCACUGAGAACUACGCGCAGGAAUAAAAAGUAAAUCAAACGAAAUUGGUUCACGGUCACCGAGAAUGUGCAAAGUUUAAGGAAGAUCGUUUGAAAUGGACAAACGACUCUAUAUAUAUAGAUGGCGUAAGGAAGUGGUAAGGAGAACGAACAGCUUGUUUUCUACUCGUCGAUAAAUCUGCGGCUUCUUAUCUGUCAGCAGAAGAUUACAGCGAUCGUCCGGCGAUGUUGUAACAGCUAACAGCCAAUGAUAUAUUGGACGAACGAACAUUGCUAGACAUUUCUUCAAUGACGAGUGUACCAUGUGAUCUAAACAUACGACGACGCGUUCCUCGAACGUCAUCACUUCGACCCGUGAUCCUCGGACACAUUGAUCGCACAGUGUUGUCAAAUUCAACCACGACGAACUUACGCAUUGGUUGGCUGCACCGUGGAAGCGAAACUUAUAUCUUCCUCGAUCUAUCCGUCCGCCAAACCAUUCUCGCUCGUAUUAUUAUCUAAACGCGAAUCUUUACCGUCAGCGAAGAAAACAACUCUCGUAGCGUUGCAAACCCCGCGCGUCGCAAUUUUCGUCAUUGAGGAACAUCUACGGGUGAGCACUCGGCGACACCCCGCAGGAUGCUGCAGCUGAAAAUCCUCUCAAGCACUGCAAUCGCCGGCAGGAGUUCCCCCCGAGUAUGUAACCGGUCCCAAACACAUUUGCCCGCUUUGGUCUUACGCCACAGACUAUACUCUAUGCAGCACAUAAAUCCCGCAUGAAACCGGGCUUACCAUGGCUACGACCCUAGUACCAAGGUAUUACGAUUCACCACGUACUACUAGACCGUGUCUACGGUCACACGUAUAUCUUUGAAUUAGUAAAAAUCAUUAGCUUGUUUACAAAACGUAUCAAAGUUAUUGAUGUAGUUAUUGUAUGAAUGGAUAUUGGUUAGGUUCACGUCGAUUCAUCGUAACUAUAUUACACAUAUCUCGAUUCUUAUUUAACCGAAAGUUACUCUUCCGUGUAACAUGUGGCACCGCGUGUGUCGAUACGUAAACGCACGUAUACACACGAUACUCGAGUGAAAAACACGUGCAUAUAGGUUAUGUACGCGGUACGCGAGAAAGAGACGAUGAGAGAAACCGAGCGUAGAAGUAAAGAGACAGGAACAAGUGUAAAGAGAAGGAGAGGAGCAAAGAAGACAGUAAGCUAGUGAACGAGCAACAGAGAAAGAGAGACUAUAAGGACUACUGCCGUUUUAUUGGCAGAGGUGAACGACACUGCCUACUGCAAGGUGGAUGCCUGUAUUUCGCAUAACCGCUCGUCGUUGGAACGUGCUAUGAGUUUAUGGGUCACUACGUACUGUUUUCAAGCACCUUCUUACGAAAAUAGUAUGAAUUCGUUGAAUCGAAAAUAUGUUGACAUUGAAAAGUCGUCAAUGUUUGCCUUUAUUAUGAUUCGUUCAUCUAUGCCUCGUAGUUAAAAAAAAAAAAACAUUAUUUCUGGAUAAUACAAUUUCAUUAUUACAUCAUCUAAUAUCGAUAUUUCUUGUAGAAAUAAGAAUCGAUAAAAUAAGUGUUCUCGCAUUACAAGCAUGUUCAAGAUGAUAACAAUUACCAAAUAGCUGACUUACAUUAAAACAAGCACACGUUGUAUACACCUCUUAAUUUCAAUGCAUACACAUAUCCCUAUGGGAUUAACACAUAAACGUGCAGCGACCUUUUUGAAAAUUAAGAAUUCAUUUCACGUACAACUUCUAACUGCAAAAGAUCGUACAGGUUAUGUAAGAGCAAUUCGAAGAACGAAUAACAGAGGGGAACGGCCUGAUCAACAAGAGUGGAUUUUGAAUUUAAGAAUAAUCUGAUUUCGUUAACAUUUGCUUAACGACUUACCAAUCAACAAGAUGAAACAUCAGAACGAGCAAUAACAAUAUAUGACGUACAGUGACACGCACAUAACGUGACAUAGAUUUAUAAAAACAGUGAAAAUCGGUCGAGUAACGUGAACUGACCUCUGCUUUGCCGCUCCUCAUCGAUUUUCUGAACAUACGUCAAUACGAAGUACGCCAGACACGUAUUCAUGGAAUUAAAUACUACCUUCUUUUUCAAUAGUCGAUAAAUAGAAAUUUCUGUCAGUUUGUAUAGCAGCCAUGUUAAAUAUGUAAGGAAUGAGAAAUAAGAUAUUUUCGGUACAAACGUGCUUAUCUCUAAAUAUUUUGAGGUUAGCUUCGGUAAUUUUACGUUAUCUUUAUAUCGAGCAAUCUAAUGUAUAAUAUGCGAAAGCAAUGUAAACUGCGCAUUACUUAAUGCUUUAUCUGACAUUGAAUAUUAAAUAUUAAUAUUGUAUUACCUUAUGUUCAAUGUAUUUCUACAAAAUUUGUAUCAACUAUGAAGAAUUCAUUUGAUACGCUCAUUUAAUUAUUUGAUCAUACAAUUAGUAAAGGAUGUGAGAAUUAUAUAAAAAAGAAUUAAAAAAAAGAUUAAAAUGAAAUAUAUCUCAGAAAUGUAUAUGUUGAAAUCAUUAAUGCAUCACCUGGUAACUUUGUUUACCACACCAGGGUACAAUUCCAUUUCAUCUGUAUAUUAUGAUUGCUCAAUAAAAUUACAAAUAUAUUGCCAAU